GUCGGUGUCCCAAAUAUCAUGUAUGGCGACAACAUGGGAUUCGAUAUUCGAAUCGUAGUGACAUACAGUUCACUAGAUUGACUCAUGAAUUUCUCCAAGAUGCGCUUCAGUUCGCAUUCAUGAGGAAGUAUACACAAAGAAUUCUUGUUCAUUCUCACAAUGUGUUUUCAAAUGAAAACCAUUAGCAGGAAUGUCUUUAAAACUUAACAUGGUUCCUUAGAAUGUUGUGGAUAGUUCCACUAUCUGCGAAGCACUCAAUGUCUCUAUGAGACAUAACUACAAGGAGUAGAUAGGCGAGUAAAUAGUUCUACUUGAACCAUUUAGAAGGAUUGAAAGAAGCUACGAAAAGCUGCAAUCCCGAGAGUGCAUAAAAAUUUCCGCGCAGAAUGACCUUUGCGCACUAAAACAGCCAUAACUUCUUCGUUAAAAUAGAUAUGGACGAACCGUGAAAAUUUCUGAAAACUAGAAUCGUAGAGCUUUCCAAUGAUAUAAAGCUCACUGUCUGGUUCGUCCGGAGCUGUUCAAAAAGCUCAAACGAAGUUGACUAUCCAGAAAGGACAGAUUGCUGUUUUUCGCAGAAUUGGCAUGUGCGAAGCUGUGAAGCUUGCAGGUGGCGUGUAGGCUUUUGCCUUAGCCAAAAGUGACGUGUGUAUGAUCAAAACCAAGUCCUUUCGGUCGUUCUAAGGUCGUAAACUCCAUGACUAGUUAGCAAAAGCUCCUUGACAUGAACAUAAACUAACUCAGAGGACCUAGAGGAUCCGAUCAUGAUGAUAAUUUUCCAGCUUUGAUAAGUCUUCAACGUCUUUUGCAAGACGGUAAUUGGUUUAAUAGCGUAGGGGGAUCCAAAAUCAAAAGCUUUCGGUAACUCCAAGUCAGUAUGACCAGGCAUGUCCGUGGAGGGUCGGUAGUGCGAGGCACACUUAAAACCACUAUCUCCUUAAUUUCGGACAAUUCUAAGACAUCACACUAAGCUUGGAUGAGUCUAGUUGAACAAUUGAUGAUGAAAAAUCCGCUAUAGGGUAGAAGACUUAACCGGAAACACGUGG
rnacentral:lncRNA from 1 species